rnacentral:lncRNA from 1 species
UGCAUUUUUGGCCCUAAACCAGCCAAUCACGUGUCUCUGGAGCUGAAAUACUGGCUCCAAAGUCAAAUCAAUGACUAACUCACCUGAAAGGUAUUUGCCACUAAUUCCUCAUGAAGCAGGCUGACCUAAUGAGCUGCAGCCAGAAGUGCAGAUUCAUCCCAGUAGAGAUACUUUGUGGUAAUGAUUGGUGAUUCUGUUGGUUGUUUGAGUUCCCCCAGCAGUCUUCCUAAUGCAGAUUUCCUUGUUCCCUGCUUGCUUACGUGGGCUGCAGCCAGGAAUAGGCCUGUAGAGCCUACUGUGCUGGAGUAUCCCGGUGACCCUACAGAACUGAGAUUACAGAAAUCAGAAAAUCCCAGAAGGUAGCUGUUGAUAGACCGCUCUAAUUGAUGUGCUGCCUCUUAGCAGCCAGAGGGCAGAGUGUGCUUUGCAACACGACAGGAGCUUUAUCAGGCUACUCCCUGAUCCGAUGCUGUAUGCUGAAUGGGGCUUUGUACUGAGGAAAAGUUAUCAGCAAGAAGAAAUUUGCAGCAGAAAAGGAAAGAACAUUCAUUAUAUUCUCCUCAGACGAGGAUGUAUCAGCAGGAACUGAGAGAAAGUCUGACAUUGCAAUCAACCUGCUGCCUUCCUACCCCACUGUCAUAUCCUCUGGCUCAGUGGUGACUUCAAAGUCAAAGAGCAGCUGACAACUGAGCAACGAUCUAUGACAAAAGAUGAGCAAACCAUAUUUUUGCAGUACAGAUCAUCUUACCGUACUUACAACUGGAAAAUGGCCCUGGCUGCUCUCCCAGGGGCUGAACCUGCUCUGCAGGCAGGGACUCCUAUCUGUCCCUUAGGAUGCUGCUGGAGUACACGUUUGCUCCCUCCCUGCUCUAUACUCACCACCAUCUCCAAGUCAUUUCCAGCCACUUUCUGGGAAGAGUUUAAAUAAGGCAUUUACUGCUCAAAUGUGCCCCUCAUCGACAAUGCCUCCAGCAAACCUAUGCUUCUUUCAAAGGUAUCAAGAAGACAAUGGUAGAACUGUUAAGCGCAAAUUAGAGAGUCAUUCUCUUGUUGAAAUUAUUCUAGAUCUCAAAAAAAGAAACUGCU